rnacentral:rRNA from 1 species
GAUUAACGCUGGCGGCGUGCCUGACACAUGCAAGUCGAACGGGUGCUAGUUGCCCGCAAGGGUGGCUAGCGCUAGUGGCGGACGGGUGAGUAACACGUGGGCAACCUGCCUGAGAGUGCGGAAUAACCCUGCGAAAGCAGAGCUAAUACUGCAUGUGGUUGUCGGAUGGCAUCAUCUGACAACUAAAGUCGCAAGACGCUCUCAGAUGGGCCCGCGGCCUAUUAGCUAGUUGGUGAGGUAACGGCCCACCAAGGCAAUGAUGGGUAGCUGGUCUGAGAGGACGGACAGCCACACUGGGACUGAGACACGGCCCAGACUCCUACGGGAGGCAGCAGUGAGGAAUUUACCGCAAUGGGCGAAAGCCUGACGGAGCAACGCCGCGUGAGGGAUGAAGUCUCUAGGGAUGUAAACCUCUGUUGGGAGGGACGAAGAUCUGACGGUACCUCCUGAGGAAGCCCCGGCUAACUACGUGCCAGCAGCCGCGGUAAUACGUAGGGGGCGAGCGUUAUCCGGAUUUA